GGCCUCUUGGCGCAAUGGAAGCGCAUCAGACUUCGGAUCUGAGGGUUGCAGUUCGAUCCUGCAGGGGGUCG
rnacentral:tRNA from 1 species